rnacentral:lncRNA from 1 species
GAGAGGCCGGCGGCGGGCGUGGAACUGUGGCGCUCUAAGCCCGGCUUUCUCCGGCAGCCGUCGGCAUCGCCUCUGGCUGGAGUGUCACGGACUGAUACAGCCUGGCUCUACCGAGACCUCGCCCUCUAGGCACAAGUGGGCCCCCAGUUCACGGGCUGCGCCUCAGCUGUUGGCCGCCUUGGCCCCGUGGCUCACCUGAAGCCUGGGCCGUGCAGGUGAGGGGAGAAUGGCGCCUGCUUUGUCAUCUCUAAGAGGCCCAAGCCCAGGAUCUUGCUUGGGUCCUCAGCUGGGCAGUCCUCAGGGAAACCAUGGUUUCCACUCGCCGUUUUAGCCCUCUCCCUUCCAAGGACCUAGAUGUGCGUAGAACCUUUUAGGACAGAUUCAUUUAACAACCAAAACACCCGUGGCUACAUACAGUUGCUAGGCAUCCUGUAUACACAGGACAUGUCCUAUAUUAAAUGAUCUUGUCCUGUGUUGACUUUGGGAGGACACCCUAAAUGUCUUAUAUUUAGCUUUUUCCAAUAAAUUACAAAAACUCGUAGUUACAGCUAUUUUUCUGCUCAGUAACUGGCACUUAAAUAAAAUGUUAACACCAGCUGAAAUAUAUAUAUCUCAUACUUCCAUAAAUAAUGAUCUGGACAGACCUUUAUGGUCUGUUCUGUUAGUUGGACUGCAGGAAGAAAAAACAGUGAAGAGGGGAGGCUGCUAAUUAAAAGAACUUACUUUUCAUAUUCAGGAAAGGAAAAGACUGUUUUUUGACCAAAGUCCCAAGUCACUAACAAGUACUUGCCAUUAAUUUACAUAAUUUUAGAUCAGUACACGUACUCUGAAAAUCAACCAGUACACAACAGCCUCACUCCAAGCUUCUGAACAUGAGCCAGUCAGUGAUAAACACUUCCCGAAGCCAGCCAGUGGCAGCUCUACCCAGCUCAUUGGCAAGUACCUCACUACUGUGCCCUUCCUUCUGGACAGGAGCCUUUCUCCAGUAUCAAAGUGGUUGCUAAGAUGGACAGACUUUGUUUUUUUUUUUUUUGCUUGUUUUUUGUUUGUUUGUUUUUUUGAGACGGAGUCUCGCUCUGUCGCCCAGGCUGGAGUGCAAUGGCGCAAUCUCGGCUCACUGCAAGCUCUGCCUUCUGGGUUCACGCCAUUCUCCUUCCUCAGCCUCCCGAGUAGCUGGGACUACAGGCACCCCGCCACCACGCCCAGCUAAUUUUUUGUAUUUUUAGUAGAGACGGGUUUUCACCGUGUUAGCCAGGAUGGUGUCGAUCUCCUGACCUUGUGAUCCGUGCACCUCGGCCUCCCAAAGUGCUGGGGAUUACAGGCGUGAGCCACCGCGCCCGGCCCAGACUUUGUUUUACUUUAAUCACGCUGAUAACUUCUCCUGAACACAGUUCCAGAUACCAGGCUCCUCACCACCAAGCAUUUCCAUGCUAUAAAGGGGAAUUGGUCUCCCACCACUAAAAGAUAAAAAAUGAUCCUGGAUAUCUAGAUAUAUUGCUUUAUUACAGGGGUCCCACUUCUUGGAUUUGUUAUUCCUUUCUUAAGAAUUAGACUGACUUAUGAAGUCCUAUUAUGGAGAGUAUCUUAGGUAUCUACUGCUGCAUAACAAAUCACCCUAAAACCUUAUGGCUGAAAACAAAACACACUUAUUAUCUCUUAAAGUUUCUAUGAAUCAGUGAACAUAGUCAGUCAGUCCUAAAAAGAGAAAAAGGAAAAAAAAAAAAGGUUCUGUGGAUGAGGAAUUCGGGAGUGGCUUGGCUGGAUGGUACUGGCUUGGGAUCUCUCAUGAGGGUCUAGUCAGGUGUCACCUGGGACUGCAGUCACUUGAAAGUUGGACUGAGGCUGGGGAUUUGCCUCAAAGGUAACUCACUCACAUGGUUGGCACAUAGAUGCCAGCUAUUAGUGUGAAACUUCCCUUCCUGCGCCGGGUGCAGUGGCUCAGACCUGUAAUCCCAGCAAUUUGGGAGGCCAAGGCAGGCAGAUCACCUGAGGUCAGGAGUUUGAGGCCACCCUGGCCAACAUGGCGAAACCCUGUCUCUACUAAAAAUACAAAAAUUAGCUGGGCGUGGUGGCGGGCACCUGUAACCCCAGCUACUUGGGAGGCUGAGGUAGGAGAAUCACUUGAACCCAGGAGGCGGAGGUUGCAGUGAGCCAAGAUCCCGCCACUGCACUCCAGCCCAGGAUAUAGAGCAAGACUGUCUCAAAAAAAAAAGAAAAGAAAAGAAAAAGAAGCCUCCCUUCGCACACCGCGUAUCUGUACAUGGCUGAGUAUCCUCACAACACAGGAGCAGACUUCCACUUCCAUCUCAGGUGAGUAACCCAAGAGGUCAAGGCAGAAGUGGCAAUAUCAUUUAUGUCCUAGCUUUGGAAGUCACACUCUGUCAUUUCCUCAAUAUACUAUCAUCACAGGCCAGUCAUGAUUCAGUGUUGGAUACACAAGGGUGUGAAUGCCAGAAUGAGAAUCACUGGGGACCAUUUUGGGAGCUGGCUAAACACAUUUUUUACCUACCACAGAAACAGUCCUUUCUAUAAUCUAUAGUACUUUUAUUGUAACAUUUAUGAAGCACAAUUGUUUUAAAUAGAUGAAUUAGAUUUCCAAGAACAAUAGCAUUAGAACAUAUAUUUAUACACUGCCCCUUCUCUAAGCCUAUCAAAAAGAGUAUCUACCAUGAAUCUAGAGAAAUGGACACACAUAUAUUGGUGUACAUACAUGUACACAUUUUUACACCACAAACUCUAGAGUAUCAGACAGUUAUUACAAUUAGUUCUAAUUUGAAUUAACUAGAGGGAACAAGAUUGGACAUGUAACUCCUCCAUUUGGUAUUAUGGUGCAGAGAGAAGAGAUGAAAGUUUUGGUAGGCAAGACUAAGUGCCUAAAAUCCCCAGGUUGGAACCAUGACAGGAAUCAUGAGCAGUCAGAGGAGAAAAUUGGGACCAUGCUACAAGAGGCCCAUUCUUUUCCAGAACAGCCUCAACAGAAGCAAACUAUAGGCAGUGCUGCCUAGAGGAAGCUAAAGGGCAAAAGUGAACCAAAAGAUAUGGGAAACUUCAGACUUUGCAAUUGUGAGUCGGUUCACCUAACAGCAAAAUUAAACUCUCUGGAGCUGAAUGUCUCUCACCUGAUCAAUGCCAGAGAGAUUAGCUUUCCCUAAAAACACACUAUCCCCACCCACUAGCCACUACAAUAAGGCAAG